rnacentral:rRNA from 1 species
GUGAGGAAUAUUGCGCAAUGGAGGCAACUCUGACGCAGCCAUGCCGCGUGCAGGAAGAAGGCGCUACGCGUUGUAAACUGCUUUUAACCGGGAAGAAACCCCAGGACGUGUCCUGGGUUGACGGUACCGGAGGAAUAAGCACCGGCUAACUUCGUGCCAGCAGCCGCGGUAAUACGAAGGGUGCAAGCGUUAUCCGGAUUCAUUGGGUUUAAAGGGUGCGUAGGCGGAGCGUUAAGUCAGUGGGGAUAUCCUGCAGCUUAACUGUAGACUUGCCAUUGAUACUGGCGCGCUUGAUUGCGCUUGAAGUGGGCGGAAUGUGCCGUGUAGCGGUGAAAUGCUUAGAUAUGGCACAGAACACCAAUUGCGAAGGCAGCUCACUAAGGCGAUACUGACGCUGAGGCACGAAAGCGUGGGGAUCGAACAGGAUUAGAAACCCUGGUAGUCC